rnacentral:rRNA from 1 species
GUAGUCAUAUGCUUGUCUCAAAGAUUAAGCCAUGCAUGUCUAAGUUCACGCUUUUAAACAGUGAAACCGCGAAUGGCUCAUUAAAUCAGUUAUAUUUUAUUAGGACAUAAAAUUACUUGGAUAACUGUGGUAAUUCUAGAGCUAAUACAUGCAAAGUGUGAUAGCAAUAUCAUGUGCUUUUAUUAGACUAAACCCUUUUAGCUUCGGCUAUAUUUAUGGUGAUGACUCUGAAUAACUUAGUUGAGCAAUCAGGUUUUAAACCGGUGCUAUUCCUUUCAAGUAUCUGCUCUAUCAACUGUCGAUGGUUAGUUACUUGCUAACCAUGGUUUUGACGGGUAACGGGGAAUCAGGGUUCGAUUCCGGAGAGGGAGCCUGAGAAACGGCUACCACAUCCAAGGAAGGCAGCAGGCGCGCAAAUUACCCAAUCCCUGAACGGGGAGGUAGUGACGAAAAAUAACAAUAUGGGACUCUUCAGAGGCUUCAUAAUUGGAAUGAGUACACUUUAAAAUUUUUAACGAGGAACUAUUGGAGGGCAAGUCUGGUGCCAGCAGCCGCGGUAAUUCCAGCUCCAAUAGCGUAUAUUAAAAUUGUUGCGGUUAAAAAGCUCGUAGUUGUAAGCUUUGCAUCGAUUUACAUGGACGUAUGUGAAUAUGUCAACGUAUUAUUGGUGCAAUCGCGAGGUAGCUGUUAUCGUCGUCUUAAUUGAUCGACGGUUGAUGGUUAUCAUUUAUCACUUUGAUUAAAUUAGGGUGCUUAAAGCGAGUGUAAUGCUUAUAUAUUAUUGCAUGGAAUGAUGGAAUACGUUGUUGUUCUGUUUGUUGGUUUUUUGGACGACAAGAUGGUUGAUAGGAACAAUUGGGGGCAUUAGUAUUGCGAUGAUAGAGGUGAAAUUCUUAGACCAUUGCAAGACUAACUACAGCGAAAGCAUUUGCCAAGAAUGUUUUCAUUGAUCAAGAACGAAAGUUAGAGGUUCGAAGGCGAUUAGAUACCGCCCUAGUUCUAACCAUAAACGAUGCCAACUAGCAAUUUGCAUGAGUAUAUUUGAUGAUUCUGUAAGAGGCUUCGGGAAACCAAAGUAAGGUUCUGGGGGAAGUAUGGUUGCAAAGCUGAAACUUAAAGGAAUUGACGGAAGGGCACCACCAGGAGUGGAGCCUGCGGCUUAAUUUGACUCAACACGGGAAAGCUUACCUGGUCCGGACACUGGAAGGAUUGACAGAUUGAUAGCUCUUUCUUGAUUUAGUGGAUGGUGGUGCAUGGCCGUUCUUAGUUGGUGGAGUGAUUUGUCUGGUUAAUUCCGACAACGAACGAGAUUCUACCCUACUAAAUAAUAUUUUGGAUUUAUACUCCAGUAAUGUUUCUUAGUGGGACAAUGUACGUGUAGUACAAUGAGACAGAGCAAUAACAGGUCUGUGAUGCCCUUAGAUGUUCGGGGCUGCACGCGCGCUACAAUGAAAGAUGCAAUGUGUAUCGUUUUAGUUUUGACAAACUAAAUAAUCUUAAAAUAUUUUUCAUAACAGGGAUGGGGGAUUGAAAUUAUGCCCCUUGAACGAGGAAUUCCCAGUAAAUAUUAAUCAUUAGUUAGUGUUGAUUACGUCCCUGCCCUUUGUACACACCGCCCGUCGCUACUACCGAUUGAAUGGUUUAGUAAGGACAUUGGAGGAACUAAAUAGCUAUUUUAUAGUUAUUUAAGUUUCAAAGAAGCCCAAGCUUGAUCGUUUAGAGGAAGUAAAGUCGUAACAAGGUUUCCGUAGGUGAACCUGCGGA